rnacentral:rRNA from 1 species
AUUGAACGCUGGCGGCAUGCUUUACACAUGCAAGUCGAACGGUAACAGGGAGCUUGCUCCGCUGACGAGUGGCGAACGGGUGAGUAAUGCAUCGGAACGUACCCAAUCGUGGGGGAUAACGUAGCGAAAGUUACGCUAAUACCGCAUACGUCCUGAGGGAGAAAGCGGGGGACCGUAAGGCCUCGCGCGAUUGGAGCGGCCGAUGUCGGAUUAGCUAGUUGGUGGGGUAAAGGCCUACCAAGGCGACGAUCCGUAGCGGGUCUGAGAGGAUGAUCCGCCACACUGGGACUGAGACACGGCCCAGACUCCUACGGGAGGCAGCAGUGGGGAAUUUUGGACAAUGGGGGCAACCCUGAUCCAGCCAUGCCGCGUGAGUGAAGAAGGCCCUCGGGUUGUAAAGCUCUUUUGUCCGGAAAGAAAAGCAAUCGGUUAAUACCCGGUUGUUCUGACGGUACCGGAAGAAUAAGCACCGGCUAACUUCGUGCCAGCAGCCGCGGUAAUGCACGA